GUAGGGUUUUGCCUUUUUCAGUGCGUCUGCAUGAUUAUUGGAGGUCUGAAACACAACGAGCAGCGAUUCAACAGCCGCUCUGCAGGAGUGAGCUCGGCGCUGCUUUUCAUCUCUGUGGGAGGCGAGUUUUCUGWAACCAACAUAACUUUUUUUCACCGUAUUUUGAGAGAGUUAACAGGUUUAAGACAAGAUAUGUUGAUGGCUCCAAAUGGUGUUAACGUGACUACAGAAUCAGUUGUUUCUCCUGUUUCUUCAGAAAAUUGUUUUGUUUUUUGUCGCUCACAGGCGUAUUCGCCCCCACACUUUUCUCCAAGGCGUACGGAGACCUGGUGUGUGAUUCGUGCACACAAGGAAAUGGCACGAGCAGCGACAGCAGGCCGUUUGUGUGCCACAACUGCCAAUACGAUCUGGCCAUUAGAGAGGAGGAGCUCUGAAACAGGCUCAGGCCCACGUGCACCUGGCUGUGAUUAAUGCCGACUUUGUUUUUGUUUUUAGCAACAGAAAAACAGAACUCUGUUCCAMGACCACGUCGAGCCUCUGGUGUACACGGUGUCGGCCCUCCUGCCUGCCGCCUACAUCAUCGGUCUGAUAUUUACUCUGAAAACACACUCCUACAUCUACAACUUCCACGUCGGAGAUGGGCAGGCGCCUGGUCCUCAUGGGACAGUUGUCCACUGGUCGUGGUGGAGGUCUCUGCUCAUCCUCGUCUGGGCCACCGUGCUCACGUCUGCGUGCGUGGACCUUGCGACCGAACACAUCCAGCCGAUACUCAGCCAGCCCAGCGUAUCUCAGUAUUUCAUAGGGGUGACGGUUCUAGCGAUGGUCCCAGAGAUCCCAGAGAYUGUUAAUGGGAUUCAGUUUGCCCUCCAGAACAACAUCAGUCUGAGGUAACUGCUGUCUUGACUAAAUAUAAAAUUUAAAAUCUAUUUUUGUAUCUUUAAGUACACUUUUUGUUUCAGCUUGGAGGUUGUAUUGCUGUGUAGGUCUGCAUGCUACAGAUACCGAUCCUGGUCCUGUUUAAUGCCUUCUGUGAUGUGGGCUUUGUGCUCGUGUUCACAGACCAGCACUUGUGGGCCAGUAUUUUCAGCGUCAUUCUAGUCAACUACAUCUUCAUGGAUGACAAGUCUGAUUAUUUUCAGGACACAGCUCUGGUGGUGGUUUACCUCAUCCUCCUGGCUCUGUAUUACUUCGCUCCGUCUCCGACCGGCUGUUAGGAUCAAAACUGACCAUCGGAUCAAAACUGACCAUCGGAUCAAAACUGACCAUCGGAUCAAAACUGACCAUCGGAUCAAAGCUUGCACUUUUUUAAGCCUGAAGGACUUUGAAUGAUCAAAUUCAGUCUGUUGGUGACCUGUGAUAGAAACAGUGACGAUGAUUUCUGCACAGUCUGUUUUAUGUUUUUUAUUUUAACGGAGGUUUUUAAUCUCAGGUAGGUACAUCUUUCACUGCACUGUAAUGACUGAUGAAUACAGAUGUUAACUUAUUUAGACUCAUAUCUUUUUAACUUGUGAAGAUAAAAGCUGUUUUUUUUAACGGUACAAAUUAACGUAAACCUAUAGUAACAUUUCUCUGAACUAUUGGGAUAAUGUUUGUGUACAUGAGGUGAAAAAUGUGAGAAAUGAGCUGCUCUUCCUAUCUGAAAACUGAUGUUUGAGAAGAAAAAUUAUUUUCAAAAAACACGUGCUUGUUUUGUUUUUAUUUAGCUUUUGUACAGACAAAAACUGACCAAGCAUCGUACYCAUUUUUAACCUUAGGGACACAUUCACUUCUUUCACAGAGAUUCUGUGUAGUUUCAUGCAAAACCACAUUUACAUGCAGAAGAUUUUAGCUUCCAUCAUCAGAAGUGAUGCAAAUCUGUAGACGAUAAUUUCAACUCCGGUACUAAGUUUGAUAAGCAGUGGGCUGCUCAAAAAAACAUAAAUAUGUCUGAGAACAUGAUGUUCAUGUUUGAGAAUGAUGAGGUSAAGGGAAAGUGUACCGACACAUUUACAUGAAACAAAGUUCAACAAAUAAAGGCAACAGGACCGGAUUUAAAGUUUAAAUGUACAGUACAUGGAAAAGAACUGCUGGUGUCUCAUAUUUAGAUUAAAAAAAACAUCUCAUAGUAUUUACCACCACUUGCAACUCUAACAAGUACCAAAACUUGAGAACUACAACCUCUAGAAAAAUGUAUAAGUUUUUUUUACAAUGUAAAAAUGACAAUGAUAGCAGGGAUAAUAUUGAAAAACAACAGCUACACGUUGAAGUACAUUUUCAAAGUUUGUCAUAAAUCAGCACAGUGUUUGAAAUAAAUAAAAUCUGUGAGUUUUGAGUUAAUGCACAGUCUGCAGGAACAUCAGCUGAAACGUCUAAAGGCUCAAGUGAAGAGCACCGCAUAGACCACUGAGUCGUAAACACUUAAAAAAUGGUUUAAAGAAAUGUUUCGGGAGGUCAGAAGGCACCAAAGAAAUCAUUUCAAUAAAUAAGUAUAAUCGGGUUGAAAAUCACUGUGGAACCACAAAUUUGAAGUGAAGGGGAACGACUGUAGAGGCACAGGAACUUCACAGUGAUGUCGUGUCUAAAACAAUAAAACGCAUCAGUGAGAGGRACGGCCGAUAAAGCUAAUUAUCUUUCAUGCUUUUUUAUGAGAAUCUUCUAAUUGUAAAGACAGACCACCAGAUUCACUAGUUUUAAAUUCCAGCAUUUAAAAAUAACUCCUGCAGCGAGGUUCAGCAACAGUGAAAUAAACACUUCAUGAGUCAAAACUACACCAUCAGAAGUCAUUUUCUCUUCCAACGGGGGAUCUUUCAUAUAGUUUCACGCUCCACAGGUUCCUCUGGCAAAAAAGAAGCAGUUUUUUUAAAUAGGUAUCGAGUGCAUAGAGGUUGAAAUUAGCACAGUUUGCUGUACUCUCUGAAGGAAAAUCUGA